GGAAUAUUGGGCAAUGGGCGAAAGCCUGACCCAGCCACGCCGCGUGAGUGAUGAAGGCCUUCGGGUCGUAACGCUCUGUGGGGAGGGACGAACAAACCGGACGCUAAUCACCCCGGUCCUGACGGUACCCCCUUAGCAAGCACCGGCUAACCCUGUGCCCGCAGCCGCGGUAAUACAGGGGGUGCAAACGUUGCUCGGAAUUAUUGGUCGUAAAGCGCGCGUAGGCGGCCGCUUAAGUCGGAUGUGAAAGCCCCUGGCUCAACUGGGGAAGUGCACCCGAAACUGAGUGGCUUGAGUACAAAAGAGGGUCGCGGAAUUCCCGGUGUAGAGGUGAAAUUCGUAGAUAUCGGGAGGAACACCGGUGGCGAAGGCGGCGACCUGGGUUGAUACUGACGCUGAGGCGCGAAAGCGUGGGGAGCAAAC
rnacentral:rRNA from 1 species